rnacentral:rRNA from 1 species
UAGGGAAUCUUCCACAAUGGGCGCAAGCCUGAUGGAGCAACACCGCGUGAGUGAAGAAGGGUUUCGGCUCGUAAAGCUCUGUUGUUAAAGAAGAACACGUAUGAGAGUAACUGUUCAUACGUUGACGGUAUUUAACCUAGAAAGUCACGGCUAACUACGUGCCAG